UAUGAAGAACGUAGCGAAAUGCGAUACUUGGUGUGAAUUGCAGAAUCCCGUGAACCAUCGAGUCUUUGAACGCAAGUUGCGCCCGAAGCCACUAGGCCGAGGGCACGCCUGCCUGGGCGUCACACGCCGUUGCCCCCCCAUCUACUCCUUCGGGAUUGCGGGGGGGCGGAUGAUGGCCUCCCGUGCGCCUAGCCGCGCGGUUGGCAUAAAUACCAAGUCCUCGGCGACGCACGCCACGACAAUCGGUGGUUGCGAAACCUCGGUUGCCCGUCGUGUGCGUUCGUCGCGCAUCGAGGGCUCGAAAAAAUGCUCGGCUCCGGCUGGGCUUUCAACGCGACCCCAGGUCAGGCGGGGUUACCCGCUGAAUUUAAGCAUAUCAAUAAGCGGAGGA
rnacentral:misc_RNA from 1 species